GCAAGGGCGAUGAGCCACUUUGGAUUGUUGAGGGUGAUGAGGAUGUUGUCAUCCACUUUGUUGCCGAAAGCCCAAUAGCCGAUGAGCGCAACAGGGAAGUAGCAGAGUGCCACCACAAUAUAGGCGACGAUAACUCCCUUCCACAUAGGUUUCUUGGAUGGCUGCUCUGGUGUCGAUGGGAUGGUGGCCUGGAUCUCUAGAACAACAUUGUGCCCAGCGUAUGCGAAUGCCACGUCGCCCAAUGCGCCGAAGAAGCCAAACACCUUCCCCGGCGUCGUUGUUGCGCGCACGUGGUAGUCCACGUCUGGAAGCUUGCCCUUGUCCACCGAUGCACCCCAAGCGAUUGUGGAGUAACUGCCAUGAGUGACCAUGUCAGUGAUCAAUCGGGUUAUACAUGGGUUUUCAGAAAGUAACUGAAUUUUCUACAGUGCAGUGGAGUUCCUGAGGCAACGACAGAGUGAAGUGGUACCUGAGCGACAUGACGGCAGCGGCAAGGGAGACACCAGAGAUGGAAUUAAAGUUGGGGAGCUGGGAGAGCACAAAGUGGACAGAGGCAAAUAUCAUGAUGAAGUAGGUGGUCUUGAUGUCUUUGCAUUUGCCGUCGCAGAUCACAUCGUGGAAUUUCUUCAGUGAUUUGCCUCCGGUGACCAUGUACACAAUGUUGACGCCCACCUCAACGAUGAGCUGCUGCGGCACAACAAUCCACAGCCCCAGCUUCUCGC
rnacentral:lncRNA from 1 species